rnacentral:rRNA from 1 species
AUGCUUGACAGAUUAACAAAAUCUAAAGGAGGAAUAAUGGAGAUCCAUUUUGAGGCAGGUUUAAAAAGGCCACGUGAUGCUACAAAGUUAGCCAAGUUAGUAUCAGAGGCAACCGUUGCUGUUAGGUGUCAUGCAUGUAUCCUCCCAACGUGGAUCCAGUACAGGAAUGAGAAAGACAAUACCCAGUUUAACACCUUCCUUGAGCAUUUAUCCAUGAAGUUCAAGUUCGAUCCGAAAGAUGAUGCAACUAAACAAGCAUGCACUCAUGUUUUUCAGUCUGCUCUGCGACAGUAUCGAUACCACCUUACAAAAUCUCACUUUGAAGGCAAGGCUAACAAUGAAAUCGCCCAAACAUCUCCAGUGGAAUAUAUUACAGAUGAAGACUGGACAGCCCUCGUUAAACACUGG